rnacentral:rRNA from 1 species
AUUGAACGCUGGCGGCAGGCUUAACACAUGCAAGUCGAGCGGGGUGAUGGUGCUUGCACUAUCACUUAGCGGCGGACGGGUGAGUAAUGCUUAGGAAUCUGCCUAUUAGUGGGGGACAACAUUUCGAAAGGAAUGCUAAUACCGCAUACGUCCUACGAGAGAAAGCAGGGGAUCUUCGGACCUUGCGCUAAUAGAUGAGCCUAAGUCGGAUUAGCUAGUUGGUGGGGUAAAGGCCUACCAAGGCGACGAUCUGUAGCGGGUCUGAGAGGAUGAUCCGCCACACUGGGACUGAGACACGGCCCAGACUCCUACGGGAGGCAGCAGUGGGGAAUAUUGGACAAUGGGCGGAAGCCUGAUCCAGCCAUGCCGCGUGUGUGAAGAAGGCCUUAUGGUUGUAAAGCACUUUAAGCGAGGAGGAGGCUACUUUAGUUAAUACCUAGAGAUAGUGGACGUUACUCGCAGAAUAAGCACCGGCUAACUCUGUGCCAGCAGCCGCGGUAACAC